UACGAAGGGGGCUAGCGUUGCUCGGAAUUACUGGGCGUAAAGCGCACGUAGGCGGUCUUUUAAGUCGGGGGUGAAAUCCUGGAGCUCAACUCCAGAACUGCCUUCGAUACUGGAAGACUUGAGUCCGGGAGAGGUGAGUGGAACUGCGAGUGUAGAGGUGAAAUUCGUAGAUAUUCGGAAGAACACCAGUGGCGAAGGCGGCUCACUGGACUGGUAUUGACGCUGAGGUGCGAAAGCGUGGGGAGCAAACAGGG
rnacentral:rRNA from 1 species